rnacentral:rRNA from 1 species
CCUACGGGGGGCAGCAGUGGGGAAUAUUGGACAAUGGGGGCAACCCUGAUCCAGCCAUGCCGCGUGUGUGAAGAAGGCCCUCGGGUUGUAAAGCACUUUCAGUGAGGAAGAACGCCUGGUGGUUAAUACCCAUCAGGAAAGACAUCACUCACAGAAGAAGCACCGGCUAACUCCGUGCCAGCAGCCGCGGUAAUACGGAGGGUGCGAGCGUUAAUCGGAAUUACUGGGCGUAAAGCGCGCGUAGGUGGCUUGAUAAGCCGGUUGUGAAAGCCCCGGGCUCAACCUGGGAACGGCAUCCGGAACUGUCAAGCUAGAGUGCAGGAGAGGAAGGUAGAAUUACCGGUGUAGCGGUGAAAUGCGUAGAGAUCGGGAGGAAUACCAGUGGCGAAGGCGGCCUUCUGGACUGACACUGACACUGAGGUGCGAAAGCGUGGGUAGCAAACAGGAUUAGAUACCCGGGUAGUC